UACAGAGGGGGCAAGCGUUGUUCGGAAUUACUGGGCGUAAAGGGCGCGUAGGCGGCCUGUUAAGUCGAACGUGAAAUCCCCGGGCUCAACCCGGGAACUGCGUCCGAUACUGGCAGGCUUGAAUCCGGGAGAGGGAUGUGGAAUUCCAGGUGUAGCGGUGAAAUGCGUAGAUAUCUGGAGGAACACCGGUGGCGAAGGCGGCAUCCUGGACCGAUAUUGACACUGAUGAGCGAAAGCGUGGGGAGCGAACAGG
rnacentral:rRNA from 1 species